CAUGCAAGUCGACGGUAACAGGUCUUCGGACGCUGACGAGUGGCGAACGGGUGAGUAAUACAUCGGAACGUGCCCAGUCGUGGGGGAUAACUACUCGAAAGAGUAGCUAAUACCGCAUACGAUCUGAGGAUGAAAGCGGGGGACCUUCGGGCCUCGCGCGAUUGGAGCAGCCGAUGGCAGAUUAGGUAGUUGGUGGGAUAAAAGCUUACCAAGCCGACGAUCUGUAGCUGGUCUGAGAGGACGACCAGCCACACUGGGACUGAGACACGGCCCAGACUCCUACGGGAGGCAGCAGUGGGGAAUUUUGGACAAUGGGCGAAAGCCUGAUCCAGCAAUGCCCGUGCAGGAUGAAGGCCUUCGGGUUGUAAACUGCUUUUGUACGGAACGAAAAAGCUCCUUCUAAUACAGGGGGCCCAUGACGGUACCGUAAGAAUAAGCACCGGCUAACUACGUGCCAGCAGCCGCGGUAAUACGUAGGGUGCGAGCGUUAAUCGGAAUUACUGGGCGUAAAGCGUGCGCAGGCGGUUAUGUAAGACAGAUGUGAAAUCCCCGGGCUCAACCUGGGAAACUGCAUUUGUGACUGCAUGGCUAGAGUACGGUAGAGGGGGAUGGAAUUCCGCGUGUAGCAGUGAAAUGCGUAGAUAUGCGGAGGAACACCGAUGGCGAAGCAAUCCCCUGGACCUGUACUGACGCUCAUGCACGAAAGCGUGGGGAGCAAACAGGAUUAGAUACCUGUAGUCACGCCCUAACGAUGUCACUGGUGUGGGAUAGUUUCUCAGUACGAGCUACCGCGUGAAGU
rnacentral:rRNA from 1 species